CGGCUGCAGGGGCCGAUGUUUCCGGACCGAGCGAUGAGCGUCGACGGAAUGACACCCAUAGCAAUCUCUAGUUAGCGUACGUACACCACGAACGAAAUCUACGAAGCUUAACGACGGUAUUCGACACACCGCUAGCGUUUUAACCUGCGUUUAAAAUGGGAGCAGACGUAGCUGCAGUUUCUAUAGUAAGUGUUUUCUGGGUGGUCGUCGGUGCCAUAGUGCCAUGGUUCAUUCGGAAAGGCUCGCAUCGCAGCCUCAUUCAGGCAAUGAUCGUUACGACGUCAAUAUGUUGCUACCUCUUUUGGCUGUGCACAUACAUGUCCCAAAUGUACCCCUUGGUUGGUCCAUCGCUAAGCAACAGUACGGUGAUCAUAAUGGAAGAGUACUGGGGAAGUAACAAGUCUACAGCCUGAAGGCGAACAA